UACGUAGGGUCCGAGCGUUGUCCGGAAUUAUUGGGCGUAAAGAGCUCGUAGGCGGUUUGUUGCGUCGGCUGUGAAAUCCCGAGGCUCAACCUCGGGUCUGCAGUCGAUACGAGCAAACUAGAGUGUUGCAGGGGAGACUGGAAUUCCUGGUGUAGCGGUGAAAUGCGCAGAUAUCAGGAAGAACACCCGUGGCGAAGGCGGUUCUCUGGGCAUGAUCUGACGCUGAGGAGCGAAAGUGUGGGGAGCGAACAGG
rnacentral:rRNA from 1 species